CACUGUGAUAUGGUUUGGCUGUGUCCCCCCCAAAUCUCAUCUUGAAUUGUAGUUCCCAUAAUCCCCACAUGUUACCCAGUGGGAGGUAAUUGAAUCAUGGGGGCGGUUAGCCCAUGCUGCUAUUCUCAUGAUAGUGAGUGAGUUCUCAUGAGAUCUGAUGGUUUUAUCCAGGACUUUUCCGCCUUUUGCUCAGCACCUCUCCUUGCUGCUGCCAUGUGAAGAAGGAUGUGUUUGCUUCCCGUUCCGCCAUGAUUGUAAGUUUCCUGAGGCCUCCCCGAACUAUGAGUCAAUUAAAUCUCUUUCGUUUAUAAAUAGCCGAGCACUGUGAGAAUGGACUAAUAAAUACGAGUGUCUUAAUCCAUUUUGCAUUGUUAUAAAGGAAUAUCUGAGGCUGGGUAAUUUAAUAAAAUAAGACAUUUCUUUGACUCACGGUUCUUCAGGCUCUGCAAGAAGCAUGGCACCAGCAUCUGCUUCUGGUGAGGACCUCAUGAAGUUUCCAACCAUGGGGGGAGGCCAAGAGAGAGUAGGCAUGUCACAUGGCAAGGGAGGGAG
rnacentral:lncRNA from 10 species